rnacentral:tRNA from 1 species
GCCUCGUUUGUGGAGUAGGUACUGCGUCAGUCUCAUAAUCGGAUUUUUGUGAGUUUGAUCCUCACAUGGGGCA